ACACCCAUGGAAACAUCUUUCAAAACCUCAACCUUUAAAGAGUUUCAAAGACUUCAAAAGGCAGCUAGUCACAGAAUAACAGACACACACUAAUCAUAAAUAGAAUGCUUUGAAAUUGAAAAAUGAAGCCAGGAACAAUGUAUCUUAUUGAUGUAUUUUCAUUCGAAACAGAACUUUCACCUUGUGUUCAGAUACUUUGGUUGUAAGUGAGGUGGUGUUGACAGCCAUUGAUUAGUCCUCUGAAAUGUGGACACCCAGGAACCUGAAGCUGGUCACUCUCUUCGCCUUGAGGAAUGGGGGUAUAGCCAGAGCAGACCCAGAACAACGGUCCAUGCCCACAGAAUUUCUGACAGAAUGCUUCCAUCAUUUCUAUGAUGUGUGGCAUUACAGCCUAACAGCUCUACUGUUGUCUCAUAGGCUCAUCCUUACGAAAUACCAAUCAUUGUCCAAAAAUAUAUAAACAAAGCAAUUUUAAUGAAUGUCCUUUUUUGUAGCUAUCAGAUGAAGUAAGAAUAUAACAGAAGAGAUACCUGAGUCCAGAUACUUACAUACAUAUCUAAAAUAUCUUAAAUAUCUAAUAUAUCUUUUUCUAAAAUCGUUUGGUUUGUUUUUUAUGUCCCA